rnacentral:miRNA from 1 species
CAAUCUUUAUGGAACGGAGAGAGU